rnacentral:rRNA from 1 species
UACGGAGGAUGCGAGCGUUAUCCGGAUUUAUUGGGUUUAAAGGGUGCGUAGGCGGGUUAUCAAGUCAGCGGUAAAAUCGUGGAGCUCAACUCCAUCCAGCCGUUGAAACUGAUGAUCUUGAGUGGGCGAGAAGUAUGCGGAAUGCGUGGUGUAGCAGUGAAAUGCGUAGAUAUCGAGAGGAACACUCGUGGCGAAGGCGGGUUCCUGGACAUUAACUGACGCUGAGGCACGAAGGCCAGGGGAGCGAAAGGG